rnacentral:rRNA from 1 species
AUUGAACGCUGGCGGCAGGCCUAACACAUGCAAGUCGAAUGGUAACAGGAAACAGCUUGCUGUUUCGCUGACGAGUGGCGGACGGGUGAGUAAUGUCUGGGAAACUGCCUGAUGGAGGGGGAUAACUACUGGAAACGGUAGCUAAUACCGCAUAACGUCGCAAGACCAAAGAGGGGGACCUUCGGGGCUCUUGCCAUCAGAUGUGCCCAGGUGGGAUUAGCUAGUGGGUGGGGUAACGGCUCACCUAGGCGACGAUCCCUAGCUGGUCUGAGAGGAUGACCAGCCACACUGGAACUGAGACACGGUCCAGACUCCUACGGGAGGCAGCAGUGGGGAAUAUUGCACAAUGGGCGCAAGCCUGAUGCAGCCAUGCCGCGUGUAUGAAGAAGGCCUUCGGGUUGUAAAGUACUUUCAGCGGGGAGGAAGGGAGUAAAGUUAAUACCUUUGCUCAUUGACGUUACCCGCAGAAGAAGCACCGGCUAACUCCGUG